rnacentral:rRNA from 3 species
GCCUGGCGGCCGUAGCGCGGUGGUCCCACCUGACCCCAUGCCGAACUCAGAAGUGAAACGCCGUAGCGCCGAUGGUAGUG